rfam:Perkinsus marinus ATCC 50983 gcontig_1104296613454, whole genome shotgun sequence.
GCAUCAUUGGUCUGGUAGUGGUAGAAUACAACGUUGCCAUCGUUGUGACCCGAGUUCGAUUCUCGGAUGAUGCA